CCUACGGGAGGCAGCAGUAGGGAAUCUUUCACAAUGGGCGAAAGCCUGACGCAGCAACGCCGCGUGCAGGAUGAAGGCUUUCGGGUUGUAAACUGCUUUUAUAAGCGAGAAAUAUGAUGGUAACUUAUGAAUAAGGAACGGCUAACUACGUGCCAGCAGCCGCGGUCAUACGUAGGAUCCGAGCAUUAUCCGGAUUGACUGGGUGUAAAGAGUUGCGUAGGUGGCAUAAUAAGUAGCUAGUGAAAUCUGGUGGCUCAACCAUUCAGACUAUUAGCUAAACUGUUAAUCUCGAGAGCGUUAGGGGUAACUGGAAUUUCGAGUGUAGCAGUGAAAUCCGUAGAUAUUAGAAGGAACACCAGUAGCGUAGGCAGGUUGCUGGGACGGUUCUGACACUGAGGCGCGAAAGCGUAGGGAGCAAACGGGAUUAGAUACCCCUGUAGUC
rnacentral:rRNA from 1 species